rnacentral:rRNA from 1 species
GAUGAACGCUGGCGGCGUGCCUAAUACAUGCAAGUCGAGCGAACAGACGAGGAGCUUUCUCCUCUAACGUUAGCGGCGGACGGGUGAGUAACACGUGGAUAACCUACCUCUAAGACUGGGAUAACUUCGUGAAACCGGAGCUAAUACCGGAUCAUAUAUUGAACCGCAUGGUUCAAUAGUGAAAGACGGUUUUGCUGUCACUUAUAGCUGGAUCCGCGCCGCAUUAGCUAGUUGGUAAGGAAACGGCUUGCCAAGGCAACGAUGCGUAGCCGACCUGAGAGGGUGACCGGCCACAUUGGACCGGGGCAAGGGUCAAGAUCCUUAGGGAAGGAAGCGGUAGGGAAUCUGCCGCAAUGGGGGAAGGCUGGACGGAGCAAAGCGGGUUGGGUGAUGAAGGUCUUCGGAUCGUAAGACUCUGUGAUUAGAGAAGAACGAAUGUGUAAGUAACCAUGCACGUCUUGACGGUACCAAAGCAGAAAGCCACGGCUACUUACGU